rnacentral:tRNA from 1 species
GGUUUCAUGGUGUAAUGGUGAACACUCUGGACUCUGAAUCCAGUGAUCCGAGUUCAAAUCUCGGUGGAACCU